UUUGAGAAGUUAGUGACUGCUUGUACGUCAUCCUUGAUUUUGAACUCAGUAAAAAGAACUUGCCUACGGUAUUUUACUCCCUACAACACAUCCUGCUAGAGCUGCAAGUGACAUCACAGCAAGAUGGCAUCGGGUCUGUAUUUCACUGUAGUCCUCUGUUUGACGAGUGGACUAUGGGCUGAGGAAAUUGGAGGAGCAAAGCCAUCUAACGG